GAUGAACGCUGGCGGCGUGCCUAAUACAUGCAAGUCGAGCGAACAGACGAGGAGUUUGCUCCUCUGACGUUAGCGGCGGACGGGUGUGUAACACGUGGAUAACCUACCUAUACGACUGGGAUAACUUCGGGAAACCGGCGCUAAUAGCGGAAAAUAUAUUGAACCGCAUGGUUCAAUAGUGAAAGACGGUUUUGCUGUCACUUAUAGAUGGAUCCGCGCAGCAUUAGCUAGUUGGGAAGGUAACGGAUUACGAAGGCAACGAUGCGUAGACGACCUGAGAGGUGGUACGCCCACACUGGAACUGGACCACGGUCAGGACUCCUACGGGAGGAAGCAGUAGGGAAUCUUCGGAAAUGGGCGAAAGCUUGACGGGGCAACGCCGCGUAAGUGAUGAAGGUCUUCGGACCGUAAAACUCUUUUAUUAGGGAGGAACAAAGGUGUAAGUAACUAUGCACGUCUUGACGGUACCUAAUCAGAAAGCCACGGCUAACUACGUG
rnacentral:rRNA from 1 species